rnacentral:rRNA from 1 species
GACGAACGCUGGAGGCGUGCUUAACACAUGCAAGUCGAACGAUGAAAUGGAGCUUGCUCCAUGGAUUAGUGGCGAACGGGUGAGUAACACGUGAAUAACCUGCCCUUAAUUUUGGAAUAACCCAGGGAAACCUGGGCUAAUACCGGAUAAGUAAACCUGUGGCAUCACAUGGUUUUGGAAAGUUUUUCGAUUAAGGAUGGAUUCGCGGCCUAUCAGCUUGUUGGUGAGGUAAUGGCUCACCAAGGCGACGACGGGUAGCCGGCCUGAGAGGGGGAACGGCCACACUGGGACUGAGACACGGCCCAGACUCCUACGGGAGGCAGCAGUGGGGAAUAUUGCGCAAUGGACGAAAGUCUGACGCAGCGACGCCUCGUGAGGGACAAAGGUCUUCGGAUUGUAAACCUCUUUCAGCAGGGACGAAGCGAAAGUGACGGUACCUGCAGAAGAAGCACCGGCUAACUAUGUGCCAGCAGCCGCGGUAA